rnacentral:rRNA from 1 species
GACGAACGCUGGCGGCGUGCCUAAUACAUGCAAGUAGAACGCUGAAGGAGGAGCUUGCUUCUCCGGAUGAGUUGCGAACGGGUGAGUAACGCGUAGGUAACCUGCCUUGUAGCGGGGGAUAACUAUUGGAAACGAUAGCUAAUACCGCAUAACAGUAGAUGUUGCAUGACAUUUGCUUAAAAGGUGCAAUUGCAUCACUACCAGAUGGACCUGCGUUGUAUUAGCUAGUUGGUGAGGUAACGGCUCACCAAGGCGACGAUACAUAGCCGGCCUGAGAGGGGGAGUGGCCAGACUGGGAGGGAGACACGGCCCAGACUCCUACGGGAGGCAGCAGUAGGGAAGCUUUGGCAAUGGACGGAAGUCUGACCGAGCAACGGCGCGUGAGUGAAGAAGGGUGUCGGAUCGUAAAGCUCUGUUGUAAGAGAAGAAAGAGUGUGAGAGUGGAAAGUUCACACUGUGACGGUAUCUGACCAGAAAGGGACGGCUAACUACGUG